rnacentral:rRNA from 1 species
AUUGAACGCUGGCGGCAGGCCUAACACAUGCAAGUCGAACGAGUGGCGGACGGGUGAGUAAUGUCUGGGAAACUGCCCGAUGGAGGGGGAUAACUACUGGAAACGGUAGCUAAUACCGCAUACCAUCGGAUGUGCCCAGAUUGGAUUAGCUAGUAGGUGGGGUAAAGGCUCACCUAGGCGGCGAUCCCUAGCUGUUCUGAGAGGAUGAUCAGCCACACUGGGACUGAGAAACGUCCCAGACUCCUACGGGAGGCAGCAGUGGGGAAUAUUGCACAAUGGGCGCAAGCCUGAUGCAGCCAUUCCGCGUGUAUUAAGAAGGCCUUAGGGUUGUAAAGUACUUUCAGCGGGGAGGCGUUACCCGCAGAAGAAGCACCGGCUAACUCCGUGCCAGCCGCCGCGGUAAUAC